GGCUUCUGAUCGGAAAUGAGAGCUGGGCUGUGGGACAGAUCAUGCAAUCAUAGAAUAUCCUGAGUUGGAAGGGACCCACAUGGAUCAUGGAGACCACCAACACCAUAGUUGUCAUUAGUUUCAGAAGCAAAGAAUGGAAUCGAGAUUCAGUGAUCUUGUUAGCGAGAGAUGUAGACAAACAGUACUCUUCAAAUGUUAGGAGAGUUUGGAUUCAUCACCUAUCCCACUGCCCUGAGACCGAGAUCAGAAGUGAUUUCAUUCGUGAAGUCUCACUGCCAGAGCUCAUUAGUGAAGUGUGACAACAAAAGAAUAGAAAAAGAAAGAAAGAAAUCCCUCAAAGGGAAAGANNNNNNNNNNNNNNNNNNNNNNNNNNNNNNNGCAAACCUGAUAUUCUGUCAGGUAUGUCUGUGUUGUUUUUUUUUUUUGCAAAGGUUUUGUGAAAAUGCAUUUGCUUAAAAGGAAAAUUUGUUUUAUUAACUUCUCUGUAGAAGUAAUAUUUACCCAUGGGAAAUGCAGCCUCCUCUAAUUUUGGCUGCUUAUCUCUGUUCAUUUUGCAUGUGUGUGUAUGUGUGUGAAAUCAUGCACCCACUGAGCUCACAUAAAAUUAUACAAUACCUGGGUCCCUUACAUACUGAGUUCAGCACAAAGCAGGAACCUGAAUGCUGCAGUAGGAUGCAUGAUUGCUGAUGUCCAGAAUAUCUGAUGUUUAUGACUUGGCACCACAUUUUCUUCAGUAAAAGAAAUGAAAUAAAAGGGUAGAUUUUAAAAGGGUAAGUUUUCUUGCCUUUCUGCACACACACAAAACCUAAGGGUUCCCAGGGGAGAAGAUACUUAAACGAGCAAAUGUUAAUUGCUGAAGAUCUCACUGAUCACCACACAAGUGGUGGAUAGGUUGCUGCCAAGGGGAUUUGGGUUUAUACCGGCUUUCUCCUUACGGAACGUUUUCCUCACGUCUUGUCGGUGUUUCCCAGUAAUGGGGCAUGCUGCAAGAAAAGUUCUCCACCAUCCCUACGGACACUCCUGUAAAAUAAAUGUCCCCUGCUGUCCCAGUGGUGUUACAGGACAUAUCCCAUGGGACAGAUAUGUCCCUGUGUUUCCUGAGUUGGUGUUUUUCUAUUUCUCUCACAGGGUACUGAGCAAAAGGCACCAGGAACCACUGCCCACCUCCCAGAGUGCAGUUCCUCAAUUUGGGGACAGAACAGUCCCAGAGAGAAACACACUGGUGUUCCGAUCAGUAGUGACAGGAUGA
rnacentral:lncRNA from 1 species